rnacentral:rRNA from 1 species
GUCGAGCGCAGGAAGUCAUCCGAACCCUUCGGGGGGACGUUGACGGAAUGAGCGGCGGACGGGUGAGUAACACGUAAAGAACCUGCCCUCAGGUCUGGGAUAACCACGAGAAAUCGGGGCUAAUACCGGAUGGGUCAUCGAACCGCAUGGUUCGAGGAUGAAAGGCGCUUCGGCGUCGCCUGGGGAUGGCUUUGCGGUGCAUUAGCUAGUUGGUGGGGUAAUGGCCCACCAAGGCGACGAUGCAUAGCCGACCUGAGAGGGUGAUCGGCCACACUGGGACUGAGACACGGCCCAGACUCCUACGGGAGGCAGCAGUAGGGAAUCUUCCACAAUGGACGAAAGUCUGAUGGAGCAACGCCGCGUGAACGAUGAAGGCCUUCGGGUCGUAAAGUUCUGUUGUAAGGGAAGAACAAGUGCCGCAGGCAAUGGCGGCACCUUGACGGUACCUUGCGAGAAAGCCACGGCUAACUACGUGCCAGCAGCCGCGGUAAUACGUAGGUGGCAAGCGUUGUCCGGAAUUAUUGGGCGUAAAGCGCGCGCAGGCGGCCUCUUAAGUCUGAUGUGAAAGCCCCCGGCUCAACC